GUGAGCUGCUUCACCAUGAGUCCGUGUGACAGUAAGUUCAGAAUCGGGUCCAGACUGGCAGUGAGGAAUCCACCAGGACGACAGAAGUCCCAGACUUCCCUCCCGUUAUUCCUGUUAUCCCACACAGAGAAAGCAGCCGUGUCCCGCAGUGCCGGCGUCGCCUCCCAGCUCCUCUCUCCUCCCUGCGGGUUAAAAGAAAAAAACAGGACAAACAAGUCGGAGGAGCUCACAACGGGAAUGGCUGCCCACGAGACCGGAACGACGUCUGCAGAAACGGAUGAGCUUCAUUUAUCCGAGCUGGGUUCUUUGGAUGAGCAGGGGAGCAGUAUCUCGAGGAGACAAGCCCGGGUCACCGUGAAGUACAACCGGAGAGAGCUGCAGAGGCGGCUCGACGUGGAGAAGUGGAUCGACGAGAGCCUGGACCGGUUGUACAAGGGCCAGGAGAGCGACAUGCCAGAGGAGGUGAACAUCGACGGCUUGAUUGACCUGCCUAAUGAUGAGGAACGAGUCCAGAAGUUAAAGGAGCUUCUUCACAAGUGCAGUAACAGCACAGAGACCUUCAUCAUGGAGCUGGUGGCCAAGCUAGAAGGAGUUCACAAACAGGAAGAGCUGCAAACUGAAGGCAUCGAACAUCCGGUCAUUUGCCACAGCUAUCAUCGUCAUGAGCCCUACCACUUCAACAACCCACAGCAUCAUCCACACCGUCCACACCACCACUUCCACCACACCCAAGGCAAAAACCAGAGCCUCUGAUGACCUCCGUUCCACAUAAACACACUGUUGGACAUGAAAAUGUAAGGGGUUACUUAUGUUGGACUAUGUGAGUAAAUGUCAAUGAAGGUUGGAAUAUAACACCUAAAAAAUGCUCUUUUCCUAUGACUGAUGCUAUUCUCAUAACUUCUUUCUGAAGCCAGCUUAGCAUAAUGAAAGAAACCAUGAGAACAGCCAGCGUUAGCAUGUUUAGAGACCUACAGAAAUCUGCUAACUAUUGCAGCUACAGCAGCUUCACACCAGCUGUAAACAUUUUGAAGUUGUUGCCAUGGGGGGCAUCUAUUGUCUUACAAUGGCAUAAAUGGGACUCUACAGGUUUUUUUCUUCUUCACUAUGCUAAUCUAGCUAGCCUCUCCUAGCUCAGUCUUUGCAGCUAACAGUUCGCAGCUGCUAUUGGCUAGUGCCUGCUAGCUUAGCUAGGCUGGCAGAUGCUAGCCCCUAUUUGUCCCCACCAGCUUCUCAUUUUCAUUAGUUCUUCACAGCGUAUGCCAGGUAUUUGUACAUACCACCCAGCAGAUAGUUGGAAAUGGUUUCUUUAGUUUUUAAUGUGAAACAUAGUUCUCAGCCGAUUUAAACUGACAUGGCUAAUUUUGCUCCUGACAUGUGUAACACUUAACAUGUCCAAACGUACAAAUCGUACAAGGAUAUUGAUAAGCGAGUUUUAGAGGAGCUGGCAGGCAGAUUUUGCUAUAUUUAGCCAGAAGAAGAGGUGCUGUUUAUUGUCUCAUGCCAUUUUGCUUAGUGAAGCUAUCCAGUUUCAGCUCUGAUAACAAAUAUGACAAGUUAUUUAAAUAAUUCUUAUUAAAGGAAAACAGAAAAAACCCUGUUUUUACAUAAACAGCUCAUUUUAUCUGGGUAGAUAACUGACAAUGACAAACGCAGUUAUAUGCAGCAUGAAAACAUGAUAUAUUUUUACCAGACUGGAAAGAAAUAGUCACUACUACGUCUUAUUUCACUUUAUUCAUAUUAGUUAACUGUAACAUUUCUAGCAUUUUAAACUAAAGAACUAUAUGCAGUGUUUCUGUAGGUGGGUUUAAAUUUGUUUAUUUCAAACUCCAAACUUUACAAAUUAUUUAAGAAUAUUAGGAAAUUGUUUAAGGAUUUUAGGACAUUCAAUGUGGUUUGUGACCCCUUAGUAUUGCUAAAGCAUUGUUGCAUUUUAAUUGUCACUCAACCCCUAUGUUUUUGAAUUAUGUUACAUUUCCAGUCAUGUCUCUUUACUUAAUUUCAUGCUGCAAAGAGAUGUUGGUCUUUUGCAGAAAAAGUAGAGAUGGGAAGAGCGU